UACGUAGGUGGCAAGCGUUUCCGGAAUUAUUGGGCGUAAAGCGCGCGCAGGCGGUUUCUUAAGUCUGAUGUGAAAGCCCACGGCUCAACCGUGGAGGGUCAUUGGAAACUGGGGAACUUGAGUGCAGAAGAGAAAAGCGGAAUUCCACGUGUAGCGGUGAAAUGCGUAGAGAUGUGGAGGAACACCAGUGGCGAAGGCGGCUUUUUGGUCUGUAACUGACGCUGAGGCGCGAAAGCGUGGGGAGCAAACAGG
rnacentral:rRNA from 1 species